rnacentral:tRNA from 1 species
GGUGCUGCUCGCCGGGCGGUGGGCCCUCGCCUCGCACGCCUGGAUGACCGACCACGCGGUUUCGGGUGUUCCGCUGCUCCCGGGCACCGC